UGAAUUUUAGGGUUUUUAGCUCUUUUUCACUCCUUUUCUCGAUCGGGGCUCCGAUUAAAGUAAAAACCUGAAAACAAAGGAAAAAAUAGCAAUAACACAACAAAAUAACAAAAAAACAACUAGAAUUCAUGUGAAAUCGGAGUCGAAAAUACAGUAAAUUUCGGUGUUAUCAAAACCCUAGAACUGAAACUACCUCCACUGAAAACCCUCAGGAUGGGGAUAUUAUAGAUCUGAGGUUUAUGAAUAAUGGUUUUAGAGCCUUCCG
rnacentral:lncRNA from 1 species